UACAUCGGUCAAUUGCUGCUUUGUAAAAAGUAGAGGAAAGUCCGCGCUAGCACUAUCUGAGAUGAUAGUAGUGUUCAUGUUGGAUCUAAUAAAUCCAAGCCUAGACGACAAGUGCCACAGAGACGAAUUUAUUAAAUUAAAGUGAAACGCGGUAAACUCCAUGAGCUAGAAACCCAAAUUAAGGUAGGGGAAUUUGUUUUUUAGAAAUCAAUAAAAAACAAAAAGUUUUUUAACUUAGAUAAAUAAUUGACACUAGAAAUAGUACAGAACGCGGCUUAUAGAU
rnacentral:RNase_P_RNA from 1 species